UGAAACAAUGUGUUUAAUUAGGGUUA
rnacentral:piRNA from 1 species